rnacentral:RNase_P_RNA from 1 species
UGAGUGGGCCGAACGACCGCGGGCAUAAGACGAAAGUCUGUGCGUGAGGAAAGUCCGGGCUCCAUAGGGCAAGGAUAACGGGUAACGCCCGCCAGGGGUAACCCUCGGACAAGUGCAACAGAAAUAUACCGCCGAUUUAUCGGUAAGGGUGGAAAAGUGAGGUAAGAGCUCACUCGCCGGCUGGAGACAGUUCGGUGCUGUAAACUCUAUCCGGAGCAACGCCGUGGGAGAACAAUAGAUCGGCCCGAUCGUUCUCAGGAGGCGGCUUGAGCCUGACAGCAAUGUCAGGAGUAGAUAGAUGGUCGUUUAAGACAGAACCCGGCUUAUAGACCCACUCAACAA